CUGAGUGCGUUAAUUUGUUAACGCUAGAGUUGCGCGGGGUUCAUUGUGCGAAACAAGCGUCUACUCUUCUCUUUGAUAUCUGAUGUUGGAUGGAUCGAAGAAGCCUCAGUCCGCAAGGACAAACGGCUCACAUCCUGGUGGAAUUUCUGGAAGUGGCCGUCAGCUGCAUUGUUUUCCUUAAAGGGUUCUAUCCAGCAGGAGCUUUUGAGAGGAGGAGGUAUAUGAACGUGGUUGUUCAAAAGGCUCGGCAUCCGCAGUUGGGCAAUUACAUCCACGCUGCAACUUCUGAGCUGUUUCCUUGUAUCCAAAAGG